AUUGAACGCUAGCGGGAUGCUUUACACAUGCAAGUCGAACGGCGUGGCGGAGGGGUGUGUAAUAUAUCGGAACGUCUGCAGUAGCGGGGGAUAACUACGAGACAGAGUGUCUAACACCACAAACUAAGGGAGGGGCCGAUAUGGGAUUGGCUAGUUGGUGGGGUAAAGGCUCACCAAGGCCACGAUCCGUAGCUGGUUUGAGAGGACGACCAGCCACACUGGGACUGAGACACGGCCCAGACUCCUACGGGAGGCAGCAGUGGGGAAUUUUGGACAAUGGGGGAAACCCUGAUCCAGCCAUGCCGCGUGUAUGAUGAAGGCCUUCGGGUUGUAAAGUACUUUUGGCAGAGAAGCGGUAUCUGCAGAAGAAGCACCGGCUAACUACGUGCCAGCAGCCGCGGUAAUAC
rnacentral:rRNA from 1 species